CAGGCACCGAGGCAUAACCACGGUAAUUCUGUGGCUAAUACGUGUAACCACGGGCUGCUCCCCCCUAGCGGGCGGGCAGUUCGGGCUUGUCGGGCUGACCAACGGGGGGCAACCCCUGGCGUGAUGGCUGGCAAGCGCACCUCACCGCGGCUUGUUCUGUGGUGUGCGCGACGGGCUUCAGACCUAUCAACUAGAUGGCCAGGGAUAGCCUGGCCAUGGUCGCAACGGGUACAGAGGAUCAGGGUUCGGUCCUGGAGAGGUAGCCUGAGAGAUCGCUACUACUUCUAAGGAAGGCAGCAGGCGCGCAACGUUCCCAAUGGGGAUACCCUGAGGACGUGAAGGGACAUACCAAUGCCCAGCCCUUAAAGCUGGGCAAUUGGAAUGGGGGACCUCUAAACCCCACACCGAGUAACAAUUGGAGGACAAGUCUGGUGCCAGCACCCGCGGUAAUUCCAGCUCCAAUAGCAUCUAGUUAAGUUGUUGCAGUUAAAACGCUCGUAGUUCAAGCUGGUGCGCCCUGGGGAUUGCCCAGUACUGCCUCGGGAGGGCCCAGGCCGCAAGGCGUGGGUGCCCUUGGUCAGAAAAAGCGUUCCCAGGCCACUAGACGCUGGGGGAGAAGGCGGGAUGGGGCUUCAGUGCCCUGGUCGCUACCCCUGGCACCUUACUUUGAAGAAAUGUGAGCGCUCCAAGCAGGCCAUUCUGGCCCUUACAACCUCCAGCAAAGAAUAACGAAACAGGGGCUUGCCCCGGUCGUUGGUUGAGGGUAGGUCAAUGAUCUAUAGGGGGGAUCGGGGUGGGCCACAUGGCGGGGGUAGGGGUGAAAUCCGUUGAUCCUCGCCAGGUGAACUAGAGCGAAAGCAGCCCACAAGUACCCACCCUUUGAUCAAGAACGAAAGUCUGGGGAUCGAAGAUGAUCAGAUACCAUCGUAGUCCAGACCCUAAAUCAUGCCGGCCAUGGAUGGGCGUUCGUCCAUCCCGACCCUGCCCGCACCUUGUGGGAAACCAUAAGCGUUUGGGCUCCGGGGGGAGUAUGGUCGCAAGACUGAAACUUAAAGGAAUUGACGGAAGAGCACACAAGGAGUGGAGCCUGCGGCUUAAUUUGACUCAACACGGGGAAACUCACUAGGGCAGGAAGGGGGUAAGAAGGACAGCCUAUCAGGGCUUUCUUGAUUCCUCCAGUGGUGGUGCAUGGUCGUUCUUAGUUCGUGGACUGAUUUGUCUGGUCUAUUCCGCUAACGAGCGAGAACCCACCCAUCGAGGUUAGGCGUUGGGGCACGCCCAGGGGCCUGGGUGGUCGCGAGGCCACCUGGGUCCCAGGGCUGAAAACGCCCUCGCGCUUCGCUCCGGAGGGACCGGUACCAUUAAGGUGCUGGCAGCGGGUCAAUAACAGGUCAGUGAUGCCCUUAGAUGCUCUAGGCCGCACGCGCGCUACAAUGGGGCAAGUAUCGGGCUCUCCUGUGCUGAAAGGCGGCGGGGAAUCCGCGAAAGUGCCCCGUAUCCGGGAUAGCGCCGUGUAACUCGGCGCUUGAACAAGGAAUUUCUAGUAGUCAUGGGUCACCAGCCCGUGACGAUUCUGUCCCUGCUCUUUGUACACACCGCCCGUCGCUCCUACCGAUUGGGCUGUGAGGUGAGUUGCCAGGAGCUCCAACUAGAUUGGCAGACAGUCCUUCUCUUUGUAGUGAUAGGAGGCGAACCCCACGGCCUAGAGGAAGGAGAAGUCGUAACAAGGUAUC
rnacentral:rRNA from 1 species